rnacentral:rRNA from 1 species
GAUGAACGCUGGCGGCGUGCCUAAUACAUGCAAGUCGAGCGAACAGACGAGGAGCUUGCUCCUCUGACGUUAGCGGCGGACGGGUGAGUAACACGUGGAUAACCUACCUAUAAGACUGGGAUAACUUCGGGAAACCGGAGCUAAUACCGGAUAAUAUAUUGAACCGCAUGGUUCAAUAGUGAAAGACGGUUUUGCUGUCACUUAUAGAUGGAUCCGCGCCGCAUUAGCUAGUUGGUAAGGUAACGGCUUACCAAGGCAACGAUGCGUAGCCGACCUGAGGGGGUGAUCGACCACACUGGAACUGAGACACGGUCCAGACUCCUACGGGAGGCAGCAGUAGGGAAUCUUCCGCAAUGGGCGAAGGCAUGACGGAGCAACGCCGCGUGAGUGAUGAAGGUCUUCGGAUCGUAAAACUCUGUUAUUAGGGAAGAACAAAUGUGUAAGUAACUAUGCACGUCUUGACGGUACCUAAUCAGAAAGCCACGGCUAACUACGUG